rnacentral:rRNA from 1 species
UACAGAGGGGGCAAGCGUUAUUCGGAAUUAUUGGGCGUAAAGGGCGCGUAGGCGGCCGCCUAAGUCAGACGUGAAAUCCCUCAGCUCAACCGGGGAACUGCGUCUGAUACUGGGUGGCUUGAAUCCGGGAGAGGGAUGCGGAAUUCCAGGUGUAGCGGUGAAAUGCGUAGAUAUCUGGAGGAACACCGGUGGCGAAGGCGGCAUCCUGGACCGGCAUUGACGCUGAGGCGCGAAAGCCAGGGGAGCAAAGCGGGG